rnacentral:rRNA from 1 species
CCUACGGGAGGCAGCAGUGGGGAAUUUUGGACAAUGGGCGCAAGCCUGAUCCAGCAAUGCCGCGUGCAGGAUGAAGGCCUUCGGGUUGUAAACUGCUUUUGUACGGAACGAAACGGCUCUUUCUAAUAAAGAGGGCUAAUGACGGUACCGUAAGAAUAAGCACCGGCUAACUACGUGCCAGCAGCCGCGGUAAUACGUAGGGUGCGAGCGUUAAUCGGAAUUACUGGGCGUAAAGCGUGCGCAGGCGGUUAUAUAAGACAGAUGUGAAAUCCCCGGGCUCAACCUGGGACCUGCAUUUGUGACUGUAUAGCUAGAGUACGGUAGAGGGGGAUGGAAUUCCGCGUGUAGCAGUGAAAUGCGUAGAUAUGCGGAGGAACACCGAUGGCGAAGGCAAUCCCCUGGACCUGUACUGACGCUCAUGCACGAAAGCGUGGGGAGCAAACAGGAUUAGAUACCCUGGUAGUCCACGCCCUAAACGAUGUCAACUGGUUGUUGGGUCUUCACUGACUCAGUAACGAAGCUAACGCGUGAAGUUGACCGCCUGGGGNGGACGGCCGCGAGGUAGUAACGUAAAGUAAGUUAGACGGCGUGAGACGUAGCCGACGGACGACGACGAGGGAGGAGG